rnacentral:sRNA from 1 species
GAGGACUGACUUGGGUUCUGAGACUCCCUGUCCCGGACCGCAGUGUUAAAAGGAUCUGAACAAAGUCUGCUCAAAUCUCCUGCUGUGAACCAGCAGAAUUUUUGAACAGGUUUCUUCACAUAUAAAAAUCUAUUGUAAAAAUACGGAAAAGAAUGGCAGCGGAAACGCAGACACUGAACUUUGGGCCUGAAUGGCUCCGAGCUCUGUCCAGUGGUGGGAGUAUUACAUCCCCUCCUCUUUCUCCAGCAUUGCCGAAGUAUAAAUUAGCAGAUUAUCGUUAUGGCCGAGAAGAAAUGUUAGCACUUUUCCUUAAAGACAACAAGAUACCUUCAGACCUUCUGGAUAAAGAAUUUCUGCCUAUCCUCCAGGAGGAACCCCUUCCACCAUUGGCUCUGGUACCCUUUACAGAAGAAGAACAGAGAAACUUUUCCAUGUCUGUAAAUAGUGCUGCUGUCCUGCGAUUGACAGGACGAGGAGGAGGAGGAACAGUGGUGGGGGCUCCUAGAGGUCGAAGUUCUUCAAGAGGGCGAGGCAGAGGCAGAGGUGAAUGUGGUUUCUACCAAAGAAGUUUUGAUGAAGUAGAGGGUGUUUUUGGUCGAGGAGGUGGCAGAGAAAUGCAUAGAUCGCAGAGCUGGGAGGAAAGGGGUGACAGACGUUUUGAAAAACCAGGACGAAAAGAUGUAGGGAGAAGGAGAAUGCAGCUGUGAAACUGGUGAUAUACUUGACACAGAUAGUGUGGUUUUCAGGUGGGGCAUCAUGAUCUAGUUCCAGAUCACCAUUCAUCUCAGCCAGAACAUACCAGAGCACUGCAAAGACAAGCCAGUGGACAACAAAAGAAGCAGAAAAGACCAACAUCAUCCAACGCCAGCGCAUGUCCAUUAGGAUUCCCCAAGCAUCUCGAAGAUAUGCAAGACCUCUUUGAGCGCCAUCCAUUUGAAGUGUGCUGUGGCCAUCCUUGGUGACCAUCCUCCGGUAUCUUUGACUUAGGAGAGGAGCAAUAACUUUGCAAUUACUGCUGUCCAUCUCAGGCUGUAUUUCUCUAAAAUCAAGAGUAAAUUAGUAAGCUCUUAACUGUUUUACAGUUA